AUAGCUGGUUCUCCCCGAAAUAGCUUUAGGGCUAGCCUCAAGGUGAGAGAUACGGAGGUAGAGCACUGAAUGUCCUAGGGGGUAUUGCACCUACCGAAGACUAUCAAACUCCGAAUGCCGUCAUCUUAUACUUGGGAGUCAGACUGUGGGUGAUAAGAUUCAUAGUCGAAAGGGCAACAGCCCAGAUCGUCAGCUAAGGUCCCUAAAUGUAAGUUAAGUGGUAAAGGAUGUGGGAUUGCACAGACAACCAGGAUGUUGGCUUAGAAGCAGCCACUCAUUCAAAGAGUGCGUAAUAGCUCACUGGUCGAGUGAUCCUGCGCCGAAGAUUUCCGGGGCUAAAACUUACUACCGAAGCUACGGCAUCAGUAAUGAUGGGUAGGGGAGCUUCCCAUACGGGUUGAAGCAUGACCGUAAGGACAUGUGGACAGUAUGGGAGUGAGAAUGUUGGCAUGAGUAGCGAGAUGUGGGUGAGAA
rnacentral:rRNA from 1 species